CUUGUUUCCCUUAAAGGAAAACAGAGCUCUUUACAUCUGAAACUUCACAUGAUCUAGCCUCUGCCCUUCCCUCUGGGCCAGCUCUCAGCAGAGCCCCUCUCUCUAUCUUCGGCUCUACCCUCACAGACUUCCGUGGAUUAUGCUAGUAAAGGUGACAGGGUAGCUAAGCUCCCUCCCGCCCUCAGCACCCCUCUGUCAUCAAACCCCUUUUCCAGCUGCCCCUCCUCAUGGGAGACCGGAGCACCUCCUCUUCCUCAGGAGAUGCUGGGUAGAUUUGCUUCAGAAGCUUCCAGUCUUAUGAAAUUGCCUGUGGCAUCAGCUCUCUGGGCAAGCAUAUAA
rnacentral:lncRNA from 1 species